CUCCUUUUCUCGGCCUUUUGGCUAAAGAUCAAGUUUAGUAUCGGUUCUUAUCAGUUUAAUAUCUGAUAUGUGGACCAUUGGUCUUCCCUAUAUUAACUCUAUUUUUUGAGGGGAAGGUCCAUUAAGGUAGCUUGCUACCUGGGCCUUCGUGCGUUGCUAAGUGUUGCACUACUGCUUUUCCCUGGCGUGCCCCAC
rfam:Capsicum annuum cultivar Zunla-1 unplaced genomic scaffold scaffold258, whole genome shotgun sequence